rnacentral:rRNA from 1 species
UACAGAGGUGACAAACGUUGUCCGGAAUUAUUGGGCGUAAAGGGCGCGUAGGUGGUUGAGUAAGUCAGGUGUGAAAGCUCUGGGCUUAACCCAGGAAUUGCAUCUGAUACUGCUCGGCUUGAGUACGGUAGAGGAGGGUGGAAUUCCCAGUGUAGCGGUGAAAUGCGUAGAUAUCUGGAGGAACACCGGUGGCGAAGGCGGCAUCCUGGACCAACACUGACGCUGAGUGAGCGAAAGCCAGGGGAGCAAACGGG